rnacentral:rRNA from 1 species
AGUGAACGCUGGCGGUAGGCCUGACACAUGCAAGUCGAACGGCAGCACAGUAAGAGCUUGCUCUUACGGGUGGCGAGUGGCGGACGGGUGAGGAAUACAUCGGAAUCUACUUUUUCGUGGGGGAUAACGUAGGGAAACUUACGCUAAUACCGCAUACGACCUACGGGUGAAAGCAGGGGAUCUUCGGACCUUGCGCGAUUGAAUGAGCCGAUGUCGGAUUAGCUAGUUGGCGGGGUAAAGGCCCACCAAGGCGACGAUCCGUAGCUGGUCUGAGAGGAUGAUCAGCCACACUGGAACUGAGACACGGUCCAGACUCCUACGGGAGGCAGCAGUGGGGAAUAUUGGACAAUGGGCGCAAGCCUGAUCCAGCCAUACCGCGUGGGUGAAGAAGGCCUUCGGGUUGUAAAGCCCUUUUGUUGGGAAAGAAAAGCAGCAAGUUAAUACCCCGCUGUUCUGACGGUACCCAAAGAAUAAGCACCGGCUAACUUCGUG